CAGAGAGGCAGAUGGACGGAGAGGUGGGGACAGAGACAGACAGAGGCAGGGCUCAGCGGAGGCGACACAAGAGAAGAGUGGAGAGGCCGGAGACCUAAGACAGAAAGAAAGGCAGGAGGUCUGGAGCUUCCUUGAGACCAGGGAGACUGGACCUUACUCACCGCUGGAUUCCCAAAGCCCAGCACAAGCCCAGACCCCAGCUCCCCGCCUUCCUGGGAAGGAGAAGUGAUCUUACCAGGACCCAGCAGAAGAGAAAACCCAGUCCAGGAGCAUUUUACGUAGAUGUCUUGAAGAGCUGUGACAUCCUAAGCGUGCAAGAGAGGGAAGAUUCCAUCCACUUCAAAACUCCUGACUUGGGGUGCCUGGGUGGCUCAGUGGGUUAAGCCUCUGCCCUCGGCUCAGGGCAUGAUCCCAGGGUCCU